rnacentral:tRNA from 1 species
GUUUUUAUAGUUUAAAAAAUAAAACAUUAAUUUUGUAAAUUAAAAAUAAUUUAAAUAUUUAAAAACU